rnacentral:misc_RNA from 1 species
GAAAUGCGAAAAGUAAUGUGAAUUGCAGAAUCCCGUGAAUCAUCGACUGUUUGAACGCACAUUGCGCCCCCGGGCAUUCCCGGAGGCACGCCUGUUUGAGUAUCGUGCCCCCCCCUCUGCCGCGCGGCGACGCGCGGCGGGAGUGUGGCCGCCACCGCGCCCGAGGCGCGGCGCCGGCCGAAGCGCGUGCGACCGCCCCGGCGCGCCGCGAUGCCCCGCGCGAUAACCUUGUCGCGGGGCGCGGCGCGGCGCGGGCCGCCCCCCGGGCGGCGGCCGUAACAAGGCCGCCGCCCAACACCCACACAUCGAUCUCAAAUCAGGCGGGACCACCCGCUGAACUUAA